GGUUAAGCGACUAAGCGUACACGGUGGAUGCCCUGGCAGUCAGAGGCGAUGAAGGGCGUGCUAAUCUGCGAUAAGCGCCGGUAAGGUGAUAUGAACCGUUAUAACCGGCGAUACCCGAAUGGGGAAACCCAGUGUGACUCGUCACACUAUCAUUAACUGAAUCCAUAGGUUAAUGAGGCGAACCGGGGGAACUGAAACAUCUAAGUACCCCGAGGAAAAGAAAUCAACCGAGAUUCCCCCAGUAGCGGCGAGCGAACGGGGAGGAGCCCAGAGCCUGAAUCAGCAUGUGUGUUAGUGGAAGCGUCUGGAAAGGCGCGCGAUACAGGGUGACAGCCCCGUACACAAAAGCGCAUGUGCUGUGAGCUCGAUGAGUAGGGCGGGACACGUGGUAUCCUGUCUGAAUAUGGGGGGACCAUCCUCCAAGGCUAAAUACUCCUGACUGACCGAUAGUGAACCAGUACCGUGAGGGAAAGGCGAAAAGAACCCCGGCGAGGGGAGUGAAAAAGAACCUGAAACCGUGUACGUACAAGCAGUGGGAGCCCCACCACUAAGCCAGUGGUGAACUCCACAUACGCAUCCUUUGCUGAGGAUACGGUUAACGGAGCGAAAGCGACGUUCAACCGCAAAAGAAGCAGAGGGGGCUUAGUGGUGGGGUGACUGCGUACCUUUUGUAUAAUGGGUCAGCGACUUAUAUUCUGUAGCAAGGUUAACCGCAUAGGGGAGCCGGAGGGAAACCGAGUCUUAAUUGGGCGUUAAGUUGCAGGGUAUAGACCCGAAACCCGGUGAUCUAGCCAUGGGCAGGUUGAAGGUUGGGUAACACUAACUGGAGGACCGAACCGACUAAUGUUGAAAAAUUAGCGGAUGACCUGUGGCUGGGGGUGAAAGGCCAAUCAAACCGGGAGAUAGCUGGUUCUCCCCGAAAGCUAUUUAGGUAGCGCCUCGUGAAUUCAUCUCCGGGGGUAGAGCACUGUUUCGGCUAGGGGGCCAUCCCGGCUUACCAACCCGAUGCAAACUGCGAAUACCGGAGAAUGUUAUCACGGGAGACACACGGCGGGUGCUAACGUCCGUCGUGAAGAGGGAAACAACCCAGACCGCCAGCUAAGGUCCCAAAGUCAUGGUUAAGUGGGAAACGAUGUGGGAAGGCCCAGACAGCCAGGAUGUUGGCUUAGAAGCAGCCAUCAUUUAAAGAAAGCGUAAUAGCUCACUGGUCGAGUCGGCCUGCGCGGAAGAUGUAACGGGGCUAAACCAUGCACCGAAGCUGCGGCAGCGACGCUGAUGCGUUGUUGGGUAGGGGAGCGUUCUGUAAGCCUGCGAAGGUGGCCUGUGAAGGUUGCUGGAGGUAUCAGAAGUGCGAAUGCUGACAUAAGUAACGAUAAAGCGGGUGAAAAGCCCGCUCGCCGGAAGACCAAGGGUUCCUGUCCAACGUUAAUCGGGGCAGGGUGAGUCGACCCCUAAGGCGAGGCCGAAAGGCGUAGUCGAUGGGAAACGGGUUAAUAUUCCCGUACUUGGUGUUACUGCGAAGGGGGGACGGAGAAGGCUAUGUUGGCCGGGCGACGGUUGUCCCGGUUUAAGCGUGUAGGCUGGUUUUCCAGGCAAAUCCGGAAAAUCAAGGCUGAGGCGUGAUGACGAGGCACUACGGUGCUGAAGCAACAAAUGCCCUGCUUCCAGGAAAAGCCUCUAAGCAUCAGGUAACAUCAAAUCGUACCCCAAACCGACACAGGUGGUCAGGUAGAGAAUACCAAGGCGCUUGAGAGAACUCGGGUGAAGGAACUAGGCAAAAUGGUGCCGUAACUUCGGGAGAAGGCACGCUGACACGUAGGUGAAGUGAUUUACUCAUGGAGCUGAAGUCAGUCGAAGAUACCAGCUGGCUGCAACUGUUUAUUAAAAACACAGCACUGUGCAAACACGAAAGUGGACGUAUACGGUGUGACGCCUGCCCGGUGCCGGAAGGUUAAUUGAUGGGGUCAGCGCAAGCGAAGCUCCUGAUCGAAGCCCCGGUAAACGGCGGCCGUAACUAUAACGGUCCUAAGGUAGCGAAAUUCCUUGUCGGGUAAGUUCCGACCUGCACGAAUGGCGUAAUGAUGGCCAGGCUGUCUCCACCCGAGACUCAGUGAAAUUGAACUCGCUGUGAAGAUGCAGUGUACCCGCGGCAAGACGGAAAGACCCCGUGAACCUUUACUAUAGCUUGACACUGAACAUUGAGCCUUGAUGUGUAGGAUAGGUGGGAGGCUUUGAAGUGUGGACGCCAGUCUGCAUGGAGCCGACCUUGAAAUACCACCCUUUAAUGUUUGAUGUUCUAACGUGGACCCGUAAUCCGGGUUGCGGACAGUGUCUGGUGGGUAGUUUGACUGGGGCGGUCUCCUCCUAAAGAGUAACGGAGGAGCACGAAGGUUGGCUAAUCCUGGUCGGACAUCAGGAGGUUAGUGCAAUGGCAUAAGCCAGCUUGACUGCGAGCGUGACGGCGCGAGCAGGUGCGAAAGCAGGUCAUAGUGAUCCGGUGGUUCUGAAUGGAAGGGCCAUCGCUCAACGGAUAAAAGGUACUCCGGGGAUAACAGGCUGAUACCGCCCAAGAGUUCAUAUCGACGGCGGUGUUUGGCACCUCGAUGUCGGCUCAUCACAUCCUGGGGCUGAAGUAGGUCCCAAGGGUAUGGCUGUUCGCCAUUUAAAGUGGUACGCGAGCUGGGUUUAGAACGUCGUGAGACAGUUCGGUCCCUAUCUGCCGUGGGCGCUGGAGAACUGAGGGGGGCUGCUCCUAGUACGAGAGGACCGGAGUGGACGCAUCACUGGUGUUCGGGUUGUCAUGCCAAUGGCACUGCCCGGUAGCUAAAUGCGGAAGAGAUAAGUGCUGAAAGCAUCUAAGCACGAAACUUGCCCCGAGAUGAGUUCUCCCUGAGACUUAGAGUCUCCUGAAGGAACGUUGAAGACGACGACGUUGAUAGGCCGGGUGUGUAAGCGCAGCGAUGCGUUGAGCUAACCGGUACUAAUGAACCGUGAGGCUUAACCUU
rnacentral:rRNA from 1 species